CAGUCGCCGCGGUAAUACGUAGGUGGCAAGCGUUGUCCGGAAUUAUUGGGCGUAAAGCGCGCGCAGGCGGAUAGGUCAGUCUGUCUUAAAAGUUCGGGGCUUAACCCCGUGAUGGGAUGGAAACUGCCAAUCUAGAGUAUCGGAGAGGAAAGUGGAAUUCCUAGUGUAGCGGUGAAAUGCGUAGAUAUUAGGAAGAACACCAGUGGCGAAGGCGACUUUCUGAACGAAAACUGACGCUGAGGCGCGAAAGCCAGGGGAGCGAACGGGAUUAGAUACCCCUGUAGUCCCUGUCUCUUAUACA
rnacentral:rRNA from 1 species